rnacentral:misc_RNA from 1 species
UUCAGUCCCUGGCAUCGUCACUCCAGCAAAAACUCGCAGCACAUUCGCGGCAUCAAUGUCCAUGCACACAUUUAUCUCCGGAACUCCUUUGGGUGCUGGGGGAAUUCCAACAAUCUUGAAAUAGCCCAGUAAAUGAUUUUCUUCUACUGUUUUUCCUUCGCCUUCAUAAACAAGGAUAAGUGCUCCUGUUUGGUUAUCAUGAGUGGUUGUAAAGGACAGCUCUUUCCUUGCAGGCAUUGUCAUAUUUCGAGGUAUUAUAGGAACAAAGUUGUUUCUAUCAGCUCUUAUCCCAAUGCCUAAAGGAGUAGCUUGGAUUGUUAAUAGAUCCAAACUUCCAAAAGGAUCACUGAUUCCAGAAGCCACUGCUCCUUCAAGAGCUGCCCCACAGACGGCAGCUUCCAAUGGG